AUUGAACGCUGGCGGCAUGCUUUACACAUGCAAGUCGAACGGUAACAGGUUAAGCUGACGAGUGGCGAACGGGUGAGUAAUGCAUCGGAACGUGCCCGAUCGUGGGGGAUAACGCAGCGAAAGCUGCGCUAAUACCGCAUACGAUCUGAGGAUGAAAGCGGGGGACCGUAAGGACUCGCGCGAUCGGAGCGGCCGAUGUCAGAUUAGGUAGUUGGUGGGGUAAAGGCUCACCAAGCCGACGAUCUGUAGCUGGUCUGAGAGGACGACCAGCCACACUGGGACUGAGACACGGCCCAGACUCCUACGGGAGGCAGCAGUGAGGAAUAUUGGUCAAUGGGCGCAAGCCUGAACCAGCCAUCCCGCGUGAAGGAAAAAGGCGCUAUGCGUUGUAAACUUCUUUUCCGGAGGAAUAAAAUUUUGUACGAGUACAGGACUGAAGGUACUCCGGGAAUAAGCAUCGGCUAACUCCGUGCCAGCAGCCGCCGUAA
rnacentral:rRNA from 1 species